rnacentral:lncRNA from 1 species
AGACACUGCUCAGCUCUGCCACUAACCUGCCGUGCGAAGCUGGCCAAGUCACUGCACUCCUCUGGGCCUCAGGUUUUGCAAUCAGAGGGCUGGCCGAAGAGCUAUGGCAACAACAGCUGAAGUUCACUCUUAGUUCCAGCGACUGGCUACCCUCCUGAAUUAAGGACUGAAGGCCCCAGGCCUGCCACCCAAGGUCCAGGUGCAAGAGGGGUGAGCCACCGGUCCUUGCCUUCAUCACACCCAGGCUUCCACACGCUCCUUCAAACAGGCCUUUGCUU